CUUGACAAACACAAGACCAUUAAAAAGUUUGUAGAGAAGAACAAGGAUCUGGAGGAAUUUGUUGAUAAGUGUGGAAAUCAAGUACAUGUAAUUGACUCCAACUACUGGAAGAUAAAAGAUGGUAAACUGGGCCAAGGGUCAGGAAGACUUUCCAGUACUGGUAGAUACUCAUAUGAAUCAGAAUACAGGAGCAACAGCUUUCAGAUUAAACAGCUGCUGACAACUAUAGAUAACAUGGUGACAAAGAAUGGAGGCUGUUAUUUCACAAAUGAAGGUAGCUUUUGUACUGUCUGAGAUGUUCUCUGAUGAUCUGUUCAGUGCUCCUCAGAUAAACGCCUAAAUACUCAUGCAUGGACUGACAGCAAAUGAGCAGCUGUGUCCGGCAGAUCCUCUGUUUAAGAGGCAAAUGUGUCUCCUUGCAAUAACAUCUCCUUAACUCUGAUGUCAAAAACAGGAUAAAUGGUUUAAUUCUUAACUAUAAGAAUCUUCGAUAUUGAUAAAAAAAAAACACAAUAA